rnacentral:tRNA from 1 species
UGUCCGAUGGUGGAAUUGGCAAACACGCUGGUCUUUGAAACCAGUGUCCCACAAGGACUUGUAGGUUCGAACCCUACUCGGACAGC